GACGAACGCUGGCGGCGUGCUUAACACAUGCAAGUCAAACGAAGUGGCGAACGGGUGAGUAACGCGUAAUCAACCUGCCCUUCAGAGGGGGACCACAGUUGGAAACGACUGCUAAUACCGCAUACUGAAGGAGGGGAUUGCGUCUGAUUAGCUAGUGGGAGGGGUAACGGCCCACCAAGGCGAUGAUCAGUAGCCGGUCUGAGAGGAUGGACGGCCACAUUGGGUCUGGGAAACGCCCCAGACUCCUACGGGCAGCAGCAGUGGGGAAUCUUCCGCAAUGGACGAAAGUCUGACGGAGCAACGCCGCGGGAGUGAUGAAGGCCUUCGGGUUGUAAAGCUCUGUUAAUCGGGACGCGGUACCGGAAUAGAAAGCCACGGCUAACUACGUGCCAGCCGCCGCGGUAAUAC
rnacentral:rRNA from 1 species